UACGUAGGAGACAAGCGUUGUCCGGAAUUACUGGGCGUAAAGCGCGUGUAGGCGGUAGGCCAAGUCUGCUGUGAAAUCCCCCGGCUCAACUGGGCGCGGUCGGUGGAAACUGGUCAACUGGAGGACGGUAGAGGCGAGUGGAAUUCCCGGUGUAGUGGUGAAAUGCGUAGAGAUCGGGAGGAACACCAGUGGCGAAGGCGGCUCGCUGGGCCGGUCCUGACGCUGAGACGCGAAGGCGUGGGGAGCGAACGGG
rnacentral:rRNA from 1 species